GAGGGUAUUGCUCAGUGGUAGAGCGGGUGCCUAGCGUGCAUGAGGUCCUGCGUUCAAUCCCCAAUACCUCCA
rnacentral:tRNA from 1 species